rnacentral:rRNA from 1 species
AGUGAACGCUGGCGGCAGGCCUAACACAUGCAAGUCGAACGAGUGGCGGAUGGGUGAGGAAUACAUCGGAAUCUACUCUGUCGCGGGGGAUAACGUAGGGAAACUUACGCUAAUACCGCAUACUAUUGAAUGAGCCGUUGUGGGAUUAGCUAGUUGGCGGGGUAAAGGCCCACCAAGGCGACGCUCCGUAGCUGGUCUGAGAGGAUGAUCAGCAACACUGGAACUGAGACACGGUCCAGAAUCCUACGUGAGGCAGCAGUGGGAAAUAUUGGACAAUGGGCGCAAGCCUGAUCCAGCAAUACCGCGUGGGUGAAGAAGGCCUUCGGGUUGUAAAGCCCUUUUGUCGGGAAAGCGGUACCCAAAGAAUAAGCACCGGCUAACUUCGUGCCAGCAGCCGCGGUAAUAC